UGGGGAAUAUUGCACAAUGGGCGAAAGCCUGAUGCAGCAACGCCGCGUGAGUGAUGAAGGCCUUCGGGUUGUAAAGCUCUGUCUUUUGGGACGAUAAUGACGGUACCAAAGGAGGAAGCCACGGCUAACUACGUGCCAGCAGCCGCGGUAAUACGUAGGUGGCAAGCGUUGUCCGGAUUUACUGGGCGUAAAGGAUGCGUAGGCGGAUUUUUAAGUGAGAUGUGAAAUACCCGGGCUUAACUUGGGUGCUGCAUUUCAAACUGGGAAUCUAGAGUGCGGGAGAGGAGAAUGGAAUUCCUAGUGUAGCGGUGAAAUGCGUAGAGAUUAGGAAGAACACCAGUGGCGAAGGCGACUCUCUGGACCGUAACUGACGCUGAGGCAUGAAAGCGUGGGUAGCAAACAGGAUUAGAUACCCUGGUAGUCCACGCCGUAAACGAUGAGUACUAGGUGUAGGAGGUAUCGACCCCUUCUGUGCCGCAGUUAACACAAUAAGUACUCCGCCUGGGAAGUACGAUCGCAAGAUUAAAACUCAAAUGAAUUGACGGGGUCAUAGCUGUUUCCU
rnacentral:rRNA from 1 species